rnacentral:rRNA from 1 species
UCAGACGAUGCGUCAUGCAUAUCAAUAAGCGGAGGAAAAGAAACUAACAAGGAUUCCCUUAGUAACGGCGAGUGAAGCGGGAAGAGCUCAAAUUUGAAAUCUUCAAGGUUUUACCUUGACGAAUUGUAGUUUAAAGAAGUGUUUUCUGCUGAAGUUUUGGUAAAAGUUCUUUGGAAUAGGACAUCAUAGAGGGUGAGAAUCCCGUAUUUGACCAUUAUUUUCAGCUGUGUGAUACACUUUCAAAGAGUCGGAUUGUUUGGGAAUGCAGUCCAAAAUGGGUGGUAAAUUUCAUCUAAAGCUAAAUAUUGGCGAGAGACCGAUAGCGAACAAGUACCGUGAGGGAAAGAUGAACAGAACUUUGAAAAGAGAGUUAAACAGUACGUGAAAUUGUCAAAAGGGAAGCGUUUGACACCAGUGUUGUUUUCUCGAAAAUCAAUUAAAAAGAGUUAGAUUUUGUUGUGUAUUGACCUUAACAGCUUGCAUUUCAAUUUUCUUGCUUUCUUUAAUGCACUUUUCGUUUAACAAGUCAACAUCAGCUUCUUUUGUUGUAAAAAGGUCAUUGGAAGGUGGCUUUCUUUUCGGAGAAAGUGUUUAUAGCCUUUGACUCCUGCAAUCGGAGAGACUGAGGUCUGCAGCGUAGAUCCUUCGGGGUUAGAUACAUUUGUGCUAAGUUAUAGCUUUUUAUAGACAACUUGUUGACUAUGAUUAGUCUUGUAGCUUACUCGCUUAUGCUAUUUUACCUACGCUUAGGAUGUUGAGUCGUAGAGCACGCAG